GUCAAUGUGGCCUAGUGGUCUGAGUGUUGGACUACAACUCUGAAGACCCAGGAUUCGAUUCCCAGCUUGGACA